rnacentral:rRNA from 1 species
CAAAAACCGGAAAAGAAAUGGGAAAAUAACAACUUUGAGCGGUGGAUCACUCGGCUCG